CCCUCCCCAGAGCACCUGGGCCCGCCCCACAUCCGCUGCACCUGUCCCACUUUGGGUGUGAUGCCAGGCAUGCAAACCACCCAACACCUCGAGGAACAGCGUGUUCCACCUGAGCACCCGCCCCGACACAACAUGAAUCAUCCCGACGGAAACACCUGCUCGCUAGGAAAAGCAUCUCCACGACGAGGCUGGCGGGCGAACGCGGGACCAGCCAAUUAGCUGCGCAGCGCCGGGCGUCGCUAUUUACUGAACUUGCUAAUUAAAGAGAGCGAGAAGAGCUCGUUACGAAAUGACAGCCACCCACCUGCUUAAUCUGCUACUGAGCCAGCUUUGGCUCCCCGAAACAGAAAACUCUGCUCUUCCCAGGUGCAACGAAUGACCGUUAAUAAGUACCCGAAACAACCCCCCUACCCCAGGGGGAGAGGAGAUGGAGAUUGCUGCUUCCUACCUCCCGGAGAUGGUGCUCCUGGACCUUCUUCAUCUCUGAAGCCCUGCUGCGAUGCUUCCCCUGCCUCUCCGCGCUCUGACACCUUCGCUCGCCUCGGAGACCGUCUCUACGGCGAUGGGGAGGGAGACGAGUCCGAAAAAGAAAAGGAAGAAUCCCACUUCUCGCUCUCCGGCUCUCUCCUCCUCGGCUGGGUGUUCCUGGCACAGACAGAGGAGAUGUUAACCCUGUCUAGAAUGAGGCAGAAUGAGAGAGGGAUGUCGGGCAGGCAGGGUGCAACCAGCAGGGCUGGCACACAGGUUUGCUCUGAGUUGGAAAUCGCUGGGUGGGGAGCAGCAAGUGGGAAGAGGACGGAUCCCAGCAGGCUGCAGAUGGGCUCUCCAUCAAAAGGGUUUCUGCCAUCUGCGGGGUCUGUGGGCUGAGUCCUGCUUCGGGAAAACAAUGAGUUCCAAUGAGGACAACCCCGGUGGCUCACGCGCUGGAGAUCCUCAGUAACCCAGUGAGGGAAUGCUCAUUGGGUGGGAAUAAGGAGGAGACCAGAGCUGCAUCACAUGUGGAAUGAGUGUGCUGGAUCUCAUUGUGGUCCAUCCCGGUCAUGGAUCCGGCUAGCAAUCUGCCAAUGCUGGCCACCAAUGCCCGGAAGUGGCCCGGGAUUGGAUCAGCAGGCCAUGUCACAGGCCCUGCGAUAGCCCAUGCAGAAGGCACCCUGGGGUUCUCCAAACAUCCCGUAAGAGAUGGGCUCUGAGACAGGGAACCCCGAAGCACAGCUGUAAAUGGCAGACACUGGCGAGUGCCCCAGCUGCCUCCCUGGACAGCGCGACAGCCCAGCAACGAACAACAGGGUUAGUGUGUCUGUCUGGGAGCAAGAGCUGAUUCCCCAGCAGGAGAGGGGAACAUGCGAGGGAAGUCCCUCUUUCUGGUCGUAGAGCUGCCGGCCAGCAUGCAGGUACAGGAUAGAAAACCAGACGUGUCACGCUGCACCUCCCGGUUCAUUCCUGCCCAUAUUUAUUUCCCUUCCCCCAAAGAGACAUUACCACGGGAGCUAUCGUCUGCAGCAGCCGGCGCUCCAGGGAACAGUGCUAGGACAGGGGCUCUCAAACAUUCUCAUAGCGCAGAGCACCUCUUCCUAGAGAGAUGGGCUCCCAGACAUCUGCCCUCCUGCCGUAUCCCUGGGAUAACUACACCAACUGCCAACCCACAAAAGGAACCUGAGGGACCAUCAGCAGCUGGAAAUAAGGAGGAGAACAUGCCUCAUUUACUUAUUGGCUUUUCUCUGGAGCAAAUCACUGGAAUCUGAACAUCUCACAUAUGCUAAUGAACUAAUCCUCAGAGCACCCAUGCCAGAUGAGGAAGUAUUAUGACACUCUUAUUCUGGGGAAACUGAGGCACAAAGUGGUUAACUGAUUUGCCCAAGGUCCCAGAGGUCUGAUGCAGUGCUAGGAAAAAACCUCAGAUCUCCUGAGUUCCAGCCCAGUGCCUUAACCACAAGCCCAUCCUUCCUCCCACGCAAUUAGUCAGCUCUCCAGGAACCACCUGCAAGGGUUGCAUAAAUCAUCAGCUGUCCCUGGAUCACAGCUGAACACCUGCUAAGCUAAUGGGCUGAUGCUGUGACUUCCUGAGGCAGGACUCUGGGCACCGGCAUCAUACUGCGGUGGCAAUUUCCCAGUUGCACAGAAUCUAAGGCUGCAUGCACAUAGGCACCGGGAGCCCAUCCCUUACCUCCUGCUUCCAGAGCAAGAAAAUCUUUAACAUCCCCAACUCUGCGUUCCAGCCUGAGACCCCAGCACAAACCGAGGCUGCAGUGAGACACAGAGGGACAGUGCUGGGAUGUCGGGGAAAGAUCCCCCCCGGGGCACAGGCCACAUCCCCCCAUCCCCAGGCUGGGGCAUGAGAACGACCCAAGCAGAGGCAGCUCCCAGAGAAUCCAUCCCAGAAGCUCUGAACGGUGGGGGAGAGCAGUUGGGCUCUUUACUUGAUCUCCAGCAGACAAGCAGCCAUGACCGAGGUGCCCGACAAAGAUGCCUGGAGUCUGUGUGUUUAGUGAAGGCUCCCAGUGACCUCAGCCUUAGGCCCCCGUCUGCACAGAACUGGGCUAGCGCUCGGCUCUGCCUCCCGGUUCUAUUGCGCGUUGGCCCCGUCCGCACUGACCAGUCACAGCAGGUUAGAAAUGGCUUGAAAUGAGUUCCAGACACAGGCCCCCACCCGAGGGGGGCCAGGGGACCCUCAUACCGACAGGCCAACCAGACUCCCCCUAACAUGGAAGGGCUACGGAGAAUAUGGCUCUUUCCCUGCGGUCCCCAUCCUCCAGUGAGAGACCCCGCUGGGCCGUGGGCUCUCUGAGGAGCGGGGGCUGUUGCUGCAAACCUCAGCUGGUCUGGACACCAUGAUCCUGCCCACCCCUCCCCUCGCCCUGUAAAAUCCGACGGAUCAGAUCAGAUCUGGGCUCCUUCUCUCUCCCUUUCCCCUCCCUCCCUCGCGGCUCUGCUGCUGUCAUUCUCUCCCCCUCCUGUCUUGCUUUCCUCCCUUCCCUUCUCUUCCUCCCCUUAGCCCUCCGCUGGGUGGGAGCUGGUUUCCAGCCCUGCUCUGCCCAGGGGAGUUGGGAUGAUGGGCUUUGGCGGCUGCCAUUCCUACAGGGGUCUCUGCACAAGGCCCAAACCUGGUGUCCCUGCUCCCCCUGCUGGCGGAGCUCUGCAGCAGGCCCAGUUCGGAGAAUUCUUGCAGCAUGGGAGCAAUGGAAAUAAUUAAGUGGCGGGAGGGGUUGAUUUUAAGAGGGGGAGCUGUUCCCUGGUGGUUAGGGCUGUCGGGGGCAGGAGCAAACCCCAGGGAGGGAGAGGGGUUAUUUAGGGUGGCACGCAGGGGUAUAGUUCGGGCGACAUGUAGCAAGCAGCGAUGUAGGCGGGUGCUCAGCGGGGACCUGCUGGCAGUGAGCUGCACCAGGCUGAGCCAUACGAUCUCCAGCGAAGCGCUGGGACACUGGGAUAUUUUAGGACAUCGGCCCCUUGCUUGGGGCAUUUUGCUCCCAAACGGGCGAAGUGCUGGACAAUGCAAGGACCAGCUCUGCAGUGGGAGGGGACCAGCUCCCCUCCGCAGGGCUUGCCCAGCUCUUAUGGCUCUGUUUUGAGGACGAGAGGCAGGAAUCCGCACAGUAAGGAACUGGGCGGCUCUCCCUUGCAUCAGGGCUUGCUCUGCCGGUUGUUAGAAGCCCAGCAGGAGGAAUGGGCAGAGACUUCUUCAGCCCAGACAUCUCUGGGGCAUUUAUCAGAGCGGCUGCAGAUUUGAGGGACGGGCGGGGGGAGGGGGGGUGCAUCUGGAAGGACUUGUUGAGACUGGAGAAUAAUACC